GAAUUUCUAGAACUCCUUGUUCCUGCUUGUUCCAACAAUAACAAAGGAAAAGGCCUUUCUUUGGUGGCAUUUUGGCUUUCUGCUGCAGUGAAUCAUGGAGAGGUUGUGCAGAGGGACAGAGCCAGUAAACCCGGACAGAGGGAAAGGCAGAGGGCUGCGUGCAGUAGGGCUGGCGGAUGAUGCCUGCCCCUCCUGAAGACACAGAACACACGCAGGAGCUCCGUGGUGUUGACUGAAAUCCCUGUCAGCUGCAGUGCUCGACUUCCCCGAGAUGGUGACCUGUGCUAUUCUGACUGUGUCUUCUGCGUCCAUGGAUGAUGAAGAGAGACAGAGCACACAGUGCUCGGAGGGGCUGCAUCCGCAGAGGGGAAGGUACAUGCCGGAGUGUAAUGAGGCAUUGGCCUCCAGUGAACUUUUCCAUCACAGGAGAAUAUUUCAAUGUUAAAGAUGAUUUGCUACAAACAAGAAGGAGAGGAGAUGCAGCCGUAACAUAAAAUGCCAUAUCUAAGAGACUGUGCAAUCUCUUUGCACUGCUAAAAUGAGAGAAGUGAAGUAGAGGUCCUGCUGACAUCACUGCUCAAAUUCUCCAUUUGUCCAAGAUUACAUGGGGGAACUUCCACUGAAACAAAAAGCCCAUAUAUAUAUAUAUAUGUAUGUAUAUCUAUCUGUAUAUAUGUUUGUGAAACAAUUUCUACUACUUAAAUAUCUCUGAUAAAUUAACAGAGCUUUGGAUGACAGGAAUUUUGACCUGUGAAGCUCUCUGAGUCAAGGAAUGACUAAGAAAAUAAAGAAAAUAAAGAAAU
rnacentral:lncRNA from 7 species